ACUGAGCGGCGGACGGGUGAGUAACGCGUGGGUAACCUGCCUCAUACAGGGGGAUAACAGUUGGAAACGGCUGCUAAUACCGCAUAAGCGCACAGUACCGCAUGGUACGGUGUGAAAAACUCCGGUGGUAUGAGGUGGACCCGCGUCUGAUUAGGUAGUUGGUGGGGUAACGGCCUACCAAGCCGACGAUCAGUAGCCGACCUGAGAGGGUGACCGGCCACAUUGGGACUGAGACACGGCCCAA
rnacentral:rRNA from 1 species